ensembl:lncRNA
GUAACAGCAGAAAUGUUAGGAAUGGAAGUUAAAGGUUGAGAAUUCAAGAGGACUGCAGAUUCACAGGAGUUCCCACAAUACAUAUAACAGAGAGAAAGAAUGAAGCAGCAGCAACAGAGGAUUAAAGAAGCUUCUAAAUUGAUCUCAAAAUAAGUCGAAUCAAUCCAUCAGUUGUAUUGCCUGCAGGCAUCUUUAAAAUCUGAAAGUUCCAGGUUUUCGCUUGUAAUGGCCUACAGCACUACUGCAGGCUUCCUGAUGGAGAAACAAAUUUGUGCCAGCUUGCUGAAUAACCUCCGUAAUGUUCAGCCGAUCAGAACUUCUCCAUCUGUGUGUCCAUCCAUCCAAAGAACCAGAUGCUCUGAAAAACACUUCAUCCACCCCUCCUGAUGCAUCCAUAUCUGAAAUAUGUUGCUACCAUAACUGCAGUUUUCAGCCCUACAAGCAAAGCCAGCUAUUGACCUAUCUGGAGCUCUCAAUUGUUUAGUCACCUGCUCAGAGAAAAUGAAAUCACUAACUGGGAGCAUCAAUAAUAAAAACUCAUAGAAAGAAACCAUUUCACCAAGGCCUAAGUCCAGACAAUAACUGGAUUUCACCAGGAUGGGAAGCUAAGAUAAAUAUUCCGUGAUGCAAGCACUGGAACUUCUGCUUUGGGCAAUUAUUUACUGCUGAAACAUCUGCAUAAGCUGAAGUUACUGACUCCCAACUGUUUGUUACCAUUACUCCUCUGCCAAAAAUUGCUACCCCAUAGAACAUGGUGUUGCUCAGCCAGUAGAAUGGAUCACAUAGGCAUUCCCUGCCUCAUCUGUUUCAGUAUAAAGUUAGCUUGUUAAUUUAAAUUCUACUUCUCAUACAUUUUACAGAAUGAAGUAGUAGAAUUUCUGCUGAAGAUUCAGUUCAGUGUUCAAUAUUAAAUACAUUUUGCAAAAUUUUAAGAAUUGAGCACAAAGCCCAUAGGGCUUUUAAGCUCAUCUUGAUGUUUGCCUGAACCUUCCUAUCCUGAAGCAGCCUUAAAAUGUUGGUAUUAUUAGUUUUCAAGUGAUUUGCUUAAUUAGAGCUAACGUAAAUCUUUGUUGCCAGGUAUGAACAGCUGCUGCAGAGAGAAUCAAGAGCAAAACUCAAUGAGAUUCUUAUGGCAGCAGAAAAGAUAUCAGGAGUGGCCACAACACUAUACAGCACUGUUCCGCAGCUACUUGUUAAUGCUUUUAUGCUGUGUUGAUAUAAAUAGGCACAUAGAAUCUAACAGAAAUGCUCAAGUAGAAAAUCUGCAGUUCUGUCAGGAGCUUAUUCUCCAUCUUAAACUUGACCUUUCCUCAAAGCUUCCAUCUAGAAACUGCAACAUAAUUGUUUCGUAUCCAGAACUGAUGAAGAAUUUGGAUUCCAGUGCAAAACAGACAUGCAGAUAUGGGGACAUAAGAAUUAUAACUAUAUGCACAGCUUGCACAUCAGUUUUUACACCUGUCUCAUACUGAUGCGAUAAAUUGACUAAGAAGUCCUGUCAAAAAACUGAGUAGCUAUGAGGAACAGGAUGGAGUUAGAACUGUAUUAUAAUGUCUUCUCCAUUUGGAAACCUUUGGCUAGAGGUGUAAGAUUAGUCCCUAGCAGUUGUAGUCAUCAUCAAGCUUCAAUGCCUUUGCAUCAUGAAACUGUACCCUCUUUUAAAAAUAGCAAUAAUCUCUAGUUCCAAACUGCACCACAUGAAUACAGCAUUAAAAGUUUGUGAAAGGCUCAGAGUCUAUCUUACAUGAAGUAAGCAGUGCCUUGCUAUCUUGUAAGGCCUAGAUAGCAAUGUGUGAGUUUUGUGGGUGUUUUUUGUUUGUUUAUUUUUUUAAAAUGUAGGAAAGAGAACUAUUGGAUUUAGUCUUAGUUAGAUUCAUUUAUAAAUGCUGACCCUGACAUACAAUCUUCAAUAAAAGCUGUGCUUUUAUAUCUAAUUUCCCUCUUUCAGCUGAGACAUUAGCAUUCCUUAUUCAACAUUCUUCUCUCUCAAGCAUUACCUCAGAUUAAUUGGCACUGUAUAAAAUAAGUUGCUGGGUGCACAAUGGUAACCAUGGUAGCCUUCAUACUAUCUUCACAAUGCAUAUGUAAUUCAGUUCUCAGGAAAACAUAAUUAGUAUGUAGCAUAAUAUAUUCUCUCUAAACACAUCACCGUGGUAUGAAAUACACACAAUCAAAACAAAUGAUGCCUACAACCUCCACAGAACUGGGCUGCCAUUACUGAGCAGUUACAUUACAAAUGAAUAUCCUGUUAAACAGUCUUGCUGCAGCAUCCCCAACUUGCAUAAUACUGCUUCUUUAACCAUACUUCUUCUCUUUAUGACCAAAAGGUGGCAAUGUUCUACUUAGUAUUAACCGGUCAUAAAAACUCAAUUGAACAGUAUUCACACAGGAAUAGAGAAACCUCUUUCCAGCCAAGCCAGAAAGCUAUGCAUCAUUAACCACUGUGUUUGCUAGGACCCAGUACUUCAAUGAUGACACUUUCAGAUAAAAUUGACACAAGUAUUGAAAUACUGUUCAAGCAAUAAUCCAAUGAGAUAUGUGAAAGAACAUUCAUGUAUAUUUUCUUAGGAGGAAAAUUAAAAGACAUAUGCAGCUUAAGCCAAAUUAAUGCCAUUGUCUUCAUGACACAGCCCUUACUGCAGAUUUUUAUACAAGACUGUCAUUGGCAUGCAGCAAGUAGAAGUUUCAGAGAAGAUGCCGUCUAUCCACUUGAGAUUUUUGCAGAGGUCUAUGUGAAGAAAUGCAACUAACUUAUUUGAAGUGGCCUCCAUAACUGACUUGAGGACUUGCCAGUCAUGGCUAUUGAAGUCAUCUUAAACAACUGCUAAUGAAGCUUUAAUACCACACCCACAUAGACUGCCAGUACACAUAACAGCAUGGAACAAAUAGUGUGCAGCUGUUAUUUUUCUAGUUAGUGCAUCAGCAAUAAUUGCAUUACUUUAAUGAAACAAGUUAGGAAUGUUUGCUGCCCUUGUUCUGGGCCCACUCCUAUGAUUGCUGAACACAGGGUGUCCCACACCCAAACAUUCAGAUUCUACUUCACUACAAUGCUAAUAAGAAAGAUAAUGUGUUUUUCCUAGUGUUUCAUGGGGAGAUAAUUACUUUUCAGUAUCAGCAGUAAACUGGGAACUCCUACUUAUUUUGUAUGCCUGCUUAUGUUAUUUAGGAUGACUGACAAAGCAAAAGCUAAUAGCUGAAGAAAGACGGACAGGAAAGUGAAGAACACAGAACCAUAGAAUGGUUUGGGCUAGAAGGGACCUUUAAAAUCAUCUAGUUCCAACCACCCUGCUAUACACAGGGACACCUCCCUCUAGACCAGGUUGCUCACAGUCCCAUCCAGCAUGGCCUUGAGUGCUCCCAGAGAUGGGGCAUUCACAGCCUCGCUGGGCAACCUGUUCCAGUGUCUCACCACCCUCACAGUAAAGAAUUUCCUCCUGAUAUCUAGUCUAAAUCUACCCUCUUCCAGGUUAAAACCAUUUCCCCUCAUCCUGUCACAACCUACCCUUCUAAAAAGUCCCUCCUCAGCUUUCCUGUAGGCCCUCUGGUAAGCUAUGAAAAGCAAAUUAAGAACUGCUUCUCAACAAAACAGGAGUAACAAUAACAAUAAGAGUAAGAUGAUGCCCACAGUAUACAGGAUAGGCAGUGUAGAGCUGAUGUGAAAGUCACUUAAUUCCUUGUGUGAAUGCCUAUUGAAGUAGUUUACUGAUAUACUAGAAUUCAUACUUUUAUUAAGUCUGGGGCAUCAGAGUGUCAGAUUAUGGGCAGAUACCCACUAUACCUCUUAUGAAAAAUAACUUACAAAAAGAAACUUCUAUAGCAAACAUACUAAAUAUAACAUGAAAUAGUUGCCUAACAGUUAAUCCAUAUUAGCUAUAUUAGUUAAGCCUUUAUUUUCCAACAUGUAACAAAAAUUUUGAAGUUGUUAUGAAGUUUCUAGAGCAUGCAUUAUUUUAGAUAAUGCAAUUUGGCCAUUCUUUCUUACCAACAAUGUGUUGUGGAUACUUCUGACAAAUCCUUGUGAUAUGCUAACACUGCUAUCAGAGCAGAAUAAACAAACUCUGACCUUUCCACUCAAACAUUGCCAUAACAAGUGACAGCCUCUUGUCCCAGUCUGCUAACAUAAUGGCUGCAGAUACCCAAUUUCAAAUAUUUAUGUUGAAAGGUAGCAUUAUUGCCAUAAAAUUCCAGUCAGACACAUAGUGAUAAUCCUCAUGUGUCUGAUUCCACGCAUUUUGACUUCUCAAUGUGUGGGAGAAAUGGACAGAAACAGCAUUUCUUUAAAGUGACAGUGCUAUAAAAUAAUUUAUCAGGUAACAGUCAUUGAUUUCAAUCAAACAGAAACAUAAAAAAAAUGCUAUUCUUUAGUACCAUAAUGCUUAAGUAGAGAUAUCACACUUUUCACUUCUGGUCAUUAGAGCACUCACUUUGCAAAAGGGAAAAAAAAGGGGGGGAGGACUAGUGCAAUAACAGCAUUUUUUAUGGAAAAUACUGCUAGUUCAGGAAAAGCUAUUCAUCUUCAUGUAGGAAAUGACAAUUAUUUCAUGCAAUUAAAUUAGAUUACUUAUCAUCAAAUAAAUGUUAUAUGACACUAGCUUUACAUUUUUUCUAAGAAGACAAAGUAUUUUAUUACAUCCUCUAUCAUCUAAUACCAGUCAUGUCAUGAAUUCUAAAAAACAGAUUUAAACUAGUUCUAAUAAUUACCAGGCUCAGUAAAUGUGGAUACAUUCACUUGAAACCAGCUAUCCUGGGACACCAAGAAAAUGAGAAUCAGUGAUCACAAAUGGAACUGAAACAAAAUACUUUAAGUUUGC